rnacentral:rRNA from 1 species
CAGCAGCCGCGGUAACACGAGGGGGGCAAGCGUUGUUCGGAAUUAUUGGGCGUAAAGGGUGCGUAGGCGGUUUGGCAAGUUUGGUGUGAAAUCUUCGGGCUCAACUCGAAGUCUGCAUCGAAAACUGCCGGGCUUGAGUAUGGGAGAGGUGAGUGGAAUAUCCAGUGUAGAGGUGAAAUUCGUAGAUAUUGGAUGGAACACCGGUGGCGAAAGCGGCUCUCUGGCCCGGAUCUGACGCUGAGGCGCGAAAGCGUGGGGAGCAAACAGGAUUAGAUACCCCCGUAGUCCCUGUCUCUUAUAC